UUUGGACACAGACUGGUACAGAAGGAAGACCAUGUGAAAACACAGGAUGACAAAGCAAGUAAGAAAAAUUAAUUUCAGAAAGGAAAAUAAACUUGCUUGAGGUGCUCUUCAAUGGACAAAGGCCAUAAGAGGCUGGAAAGCAAAAGGACCCAUUAAUGUAACGCAAACAUCAGUCUCCUGGAGUAAACAGGUGAAUGGAGAAGCGUGGAGAGUAGAUGUGGAUGAGUGAAAAAUACAUCACACCAUGUCUUCAAAUUACAUCCAGCAACUUCACAUGCACUAUGAAACCCUUGUUGCCACAAUAGUCCCUCUUUCUUUGAACUACUAUAAGAAUAAAGAAAUUUCU